GCUGCGGUGUCCGAGCGGUUAAGGAGAUGGACUUGAAAUCCAUUGGGUACUACCCGCACAGGUUCGAAUCCUGUCCGCAGCG